CCAGUCGAAGAAUGCUGACUUAGUGCAGCCCUAUGCAGGAUGGCUGGAUUGAGAGAAAAAGCCGGUGCUGCAGUCAGAGGCAGCACAUGCUGCCGGGCUCUCAGCAGUGCGCCAUUGGGAGGCUGAGAGGAAGCCAAGGGGCUGACUUUGCUGGCUGCAGUCAGAGGUGAGGGGCAUGGAGCAGCUCGGAGUGUCCCAUGGCUCUGUGCCCCUCACUGCUGCCGGGGGGCUCCUGCUGCCGCCGCACCUCUGCCCAGCGCCCGCUGAUAAACCUGCACCCAAAGGACUACAGGGAACAAAUCUGGAGGGAAAAGGAAUGCCUUGAAGUCUCAGUAUGGAUUCAGAAGGCACUGGCUAGUCAUUGUCACACCCGGUGUAGGGGAAAGAAGGAAGAAAGCAUUGGUUUGUCUUCAAGAAUGAUGGGCAUCAGGUUCAUUCUUGGAUUUUCUGAAAAGACUUAUGUUUGA
ensembl:lncRNA